rnacentral:rRNA from 1 species
UAGGGAAUCUUCGGCAAUGGACGAAAGUCUGACCGAGCAACGCCGCGCGAGUGAAGAAGGUUUUCGGAUCGUAAAACUCUGUUGUUAGAGAAGAACAAGGACGUUAGUAACUGAACGUCCCCUGACGGUAUCUAACCAGAAAGCCACGGCUAACUACGUGCCAGCAGCCGCGGUAAUACGUAGGUGGCAAGCGUUGUCCGGAUUUAUUGGGCGUAAAGCGAGCGCAGGCGGUUUCUUAAGUCUGAUGUGAAAGCCCCCGGCUCAACCGGGGAGGGUCAUUGGAAACUGGGAGACUUGAGUGCAGAAGAGGAGAGUGGAAUUCCAUGUGUAGCGGAGAAAUGCGUAGAUAUAUGGAGGAACACCAGUGGCGAAGGCGGCUCUCUGGUCUGUAACUGACGCUGAGGCUCGAAAGCGUGGGGAGCAAACAGG